GACGAACGCUGGCGGCGUGCUUAACACAUGCAAGUCGAACGGAAAGGCCCUGCUUUUGUGGGGUGCUCGAGUGGCGAACGGGUGAGUAACACGUGAGUAACCUGCCCUUGACUGUGGGAUAACUUCAGGAAACUGGGGCUAAUACCGGAUAGGAUCUCCUGCUGCAUGGUGGGGGUUGGUAAGUUUCGGCGGUUGUGGAUGGACUCGCGGGUUAUCAGCUUGAUUGUGGGGUAGUGGCUUACCAAGGCUUUGACGGGUAGCCUGCCUGAGAGGGGUACCGGCCACCUUGGGACUGCGAUACGGAGCAGAAUCGUACGGGCGGCAGCAGUGGGGAAUAUUGCACAAUGGGCGGAAGCGUGAUGCAGCAACGCCGCGUGCGGGAUGACGGCCUUCGGGUUGUGAACCGCUUUCGACUGUGACGAAGAGUGAGUGACGGUAAUGGGUAAAGAAGCCCCGGCUAACUACGUG
rnacentral:rRNA from 1 species